rnacentral:SRP_RNA from 1 species
CGUUGGUCCCCUCGCAAUGAUACGUUGUGAACCCCGUCAGACCCGGAAGGGAGCAGCGGCAGCAGCAGACUCAUGUGCCGGGGUGUGGCUGGCGGGG